GUGAAUUAUGAGCCUUUGUAUUUUCAAGAGCAUCUGACCUAUGAGGAGCAUCCAAUGUGGAUUAUUGACAGUAAAGAUCAGAUAUUACAAUAUUGAACUAUACCUUAUGCGAAGAUACAAUAGAGCAACCAUAGUGAAAGAGAGGCUAUAUAGGAACUCGAAGCAAAAAUAAAAGUCAAGUAUCCACAGCUCUUUGAAACUUCAGGUAUGUUAAUUUCGAGGAUGAAAUUAUUCUAAAGGAGGGAGAAUGUAAUGGACCAGCCUGUUUGGAC
rnacentral:lncRNA from 1 species